UCAGGCCUAACACAUGCAAGUCGAACGGCAGCACGGACUUCGGUCUGGUGGCGAGUGGCGAACGGGUGAGUAAUACAUCGGAACGUGCCCAGUCGUGGGGGAUAACGUAGCGAAAGCUACGCUAAUACCGCAUACGAUCUAAGGAUGAAAGCGGGGGAUCGCAAGACCUCGCGCGAUUGGAGCGGCCGAUGGCAGAUUAGGUAGUUGGUGGGGUAAAGGCUCACCAAGCCGACGAUCUGUAGCUGGUCUGAGAGGACGACCAGCCACACUGGAACUGAGACACGGUCCAGACUCCUACGGGAGGCAGCAGUGGGGAAUUUUGGACAAUGGGCGCAAGCCUGAUCCAGCCAUUCCGCGUGCAGGAUGAAGGCCCUCGGGUUGUAAACUGAUUGUGUACAGAACGAAAAGGCUCUGGUUAUACCUGGG
rnacentral:rRNA from 1 species